GGGAGUGUAGUCCAACGGCAGAGACAGCAGAUUCAAAAUCUGUUCAGUGCGAGUUCGAAUCUCGCUACUCCUA
rnacentral:tRNA from 1 species